UACGUAGGGGGCAAGCGUUGUCCGGAAUCAUUGGGCGUAAAGAGCGUGUAGGCGGUUCGGUAAGUCGGCUGUGAAAGUCAAAGGCUCAACCUUUGAACGCCGAUGGAUACUGCCGGGCUAGAGUCCGGAAGAGGCGAGUGGAAUUCCUGGUGUAGCGGUGGAAUGCGCAGAUAUCAGGAGGAACACCAAUAGCGAAGGCAGCUCGCUGGGACGGUACUGACGCUGAGGCGCGAAAGCGUGGGGAGCGAACAGG
rnacentral:rRNA from 1 species